ACUUCAAGGUUGUAAGUGUUUGCACUUGGAACACAGUGUCAUAUGCAUUGUUGUAACUCCAGCUGUGUGUGAUCUUUGUAGAGGUGGAGUGGGCUAAGCACAGCACAACAAACCAAACACCAAAGCAACCCUGUGUUUUCCAAAUUAUUUUGUAUAAUUAUGCACACAGUUUUAUUUUUCUUGGUGCAGAUAUUGCUGUGUAGCAUAAUACAGCAUUACUUUUAUUUUCAGAUCGAUUGGCUGAGCCUCAUGGGAGGCAACACACCUGGAGAGUCGGUCAGAAGACUGCUUAGGAAAUUCGGGACGAAUGCUCUAUGGGCCCAAUAUAGUCUUAAAGGCCGCAAGGGAAAGAAGAAUUUUCAGGAACUGGAAAUAUAUGCCUGUCGUCGAACACACACCAAGGUGCUGGAAAAAGUAAUUGAGGACUUCAUAUCAGAAACACUGAGAUAAGAUGCUACAAUCUAAGGUGUCACUUCAGGUCGAAGCAGAGACUUCGGGAAAAGAAGACACACAGAACACACUUAAUUAGUUGUUUUACACACAG